rnacentral:rRNA from 1 species
UAGAUUUGAUCCUGGCUCAGGAUGAACGCUGGCGGUAUGCCUAACACAUGCAAGUCGAACGGUCACUUCGGUGAUAGUGGCGGACGGGUGAGUAACACGUGAGAAUCUGCCUUUAGGUCGGGGACAACAGUUGGAAACGACUGCUAAUACCGGAUGAGCUGAGAAGUAAAAGAUUUAUCGCCUAAAGAAGAGCUCGCGGCUGAUUAGCUAGUUGGUGGUGUAAGGGACUACCAAGGCGACGAUCAGUAGCUGGUCUGAGAGGAUGAGCAGCCACACUGGGACUGAGACACGGCCCAGACUCCUACGGGAGGCAGCAGUGGGGAAUUUUCCGCAAUGGGCGAAAGCCUGACGGAGCAAUACCGCGUGAGGGAGGAAGGCUCUUGGGUUGUAAACCUCAAAACUCAGGGAAGAAGAAAGUGACGGUACCUGAUAUAAGCAUCGGCUAACUCCGUGCCAGCAGCCGCGGUAAUACGGAGGAUGCAAGCGUUAUCCGGAAUCAUUGGGCGUAAAGCGUCCGUAGGUGGCAUUUCAAGUCUGCAUUCAAAGACCGAGGCUCAACCUCGGGCAGGGUGUGGAAACUGAAAAGCUAGAGUACAGGAGGGGUAGAGGGAAUUCCUAGUGUAGCGGUGAAAUGCGUAGAGAUUAGGAAGAACACCAGUGGCGAAGGCGCUCUACUGGACAUGUACUGACACUGAGGGACGAAAGCUAGGGUAGCGAAAGGGAUUAGAUACCCCUGUAGUCUUAGCUGUAAACGAUGGAUACUAAGUGUAGCGGGUAUAAACUCCGGCUGUGCUGAAGCAAACGCGUUAAGUAUCCCGCCUGGGGAGUACGCACGCAAGUGUGAAACUCAAAGGAAUUGACGGGGACCCGCACAAGCGGUGGAGUAUGUGGUUUAAUUCGAUGCAACGCGAAGAACCUUACCAAGACUUGACAUCCGAUGAAUCUUGAUGAAAGUUAAGAGUGCCUUAGGGAACAUCGUGACAGGUGGUGCAUGGCUGUCGUCAGCUCGUGUCGUGAGAUGUUGGGUUAAGUCCCGCAACGAGCGCAACCCUCGUCCUUAGUUGCCAGCAUUAAGUUGGGGACUCUAGGGAGACCGCCGGGGAGAACUCGGAGGAAGGUGGGGAUGACGUCAAGUCAGCAUGCCCCUUACGUCUUGGGCUACACACGUACUACAAUGGUUGGGACAAAGGGAUGCGAGACCGCGAGGUGGAGCGAAACCCAUCAAACCCAGCCCCAGUUCAGAUCGUCGGCUGAAACUCGCCGACGUGAAGGAGGAAUCGCUAGUAAUCGCAGGUCAGCAUACUGCGGUGAAUCCGUUCCCGGGUCUUGUACACACCGCCCGUCACACCAUGGAAGUUGGUAACAUCCGAAGUCGUUACUCCAACCGUUUACGGAGGAGGACGCCGAAGGUGGGACUAGUGACUGGGGUGAAGUCGUAACAAGGUAACC